UUAGUUCAUUAGUUUAUUUAUUUUUCUGCUAGAAACAUGGAUGAGCUGAGGUCAGAUACUGUAACUGAUUCUGAACGUGAAAAAUAGGUAUUUCAACUAUUAAGGAGAGAAACAGAAGAAAGGUCACUGCUGUAGUUUGCUUUCAACAGCGAAUUGCAGAAUGAGAUGACUAUAUAUAUACUAUUGAGUUUGAAGCUGCUGACACGACGAUAUUAUCGGUUUGCAUGAGUAUGCUACAGCUGUAAGAUUCUAAACCAAUACACAGUCCUUGAGAACUUACACAAAUCUCAAACUUUAUCCCAGAAUGAGAGCUGCACUGAAAAACAUCUUGGAAUUGUACUUUUACACAUGCUAAGGCAUGGGUUUAGCAGCUACUCACAGUAAAACCUGCACUGCAGGAAUUUCUCAUGUUCCCUCCAGAAACUGUCAGCGGUCUCCCAGCCUUAGAACAACCUCUUGCUCCUGCUGGCUGGUCAGAUCCCAUUCAGAUCCCCCACCUUUCCCUUUCUCAACACAUUACUUUUCAACAUUUGCUAGUUUGGUUGCUUUCUUGCCAACCCACAACCCUUGCCAUGAUAAUCUAUACAAACACUAACCCAAAACAGCCCCAUCUAUCUCUUUUCUCCAGCUAAACGUGCCCCCACUGCCUAUAAAACCUUAAACUAAAAUGCUGCCCAACUUUGGGGUCUGAGCACUACCAUACUCCCUGACUCAAUCUGCAGUGCUGCCAUACCUGUUUCUUUGAAAAGAGGGGGUCACGAAUUUGUCUGUACUUUUUGGCUUGGACCAGUAAGAGCACAAACCCCUCUCAAUUGCCCACUGACUGGCAAAAAAAAAAGAAAAAAAGGGGUUCUUACCUUUUUCCACAAGGCUACUGUAUGACUGAUGAGCCCCUAUGCUGUGCCCUGAUCCUGGAAAUACUGGGACUAGAAGGAACUUGCGACAAGAGAUUAUACCAAAAAGCAGCUAGCAGGCUGAAACAGCAACUCAGUAGUUUCCUUUUUUACUUUCUUCUGACAGGAAAGCAAGUUUAAAUGCUCUUGUCAAAAACAGAUGAGAGUGACUGAAUUAGUUUUACAUAAAAUUAGCUGUUACAGGAGAGAAAAAAAAACACUGCUUAAAAGAAAACAGUACUCAAAAAUCUUGGCAAAGUUCAUUACAGUGAGAUUUUAAACACAGCUGACUUGAUUCUUUUCUUAGUGAUGUAAGAAAAUUCGUAUGACUUCUGCUCAGUACUUUCAGCUGUCUGAAGACUGGUUUAUCUGCCGUUUCUUUUGACAUGCAGUAAUUAAUUCAAUAGUAAUGAGAUCCCUCCAACAUUAGAGGGGUUUUUCAUGCCAUGUAGUCCCCACAUACAUAAUAGGACUAUAUGUUGUUAUGAAUGAUGAAACUGCCAAACUGGGAUGAAAUUCUCUAACAUCAGCACCGUGUGUAUCUGUGAAGGCAGAAUGCCCAGAGAUCAUUAACAUAUCUCUCAACUGAAUUUCCAAACUUCACAUGCCUGAUGAGGUGCAUCACAGUCCAACAUGAUGUAUCUCUUAAAAUGAUAAAACUACAAACUAGUUAAUAUUUUUAUAUAAUUUUUGUAUUACUAUCUUUACUAUCAAACUAAUUUUUAUCUUUUUUUUUUACUUUUGUAUUACCACCUUUACUAUUUUUACCAAAGGGCAGCAGGAAAAGCUGUUGUACUUUAAAUAAAAGUUAGCAUGAGUGAGUUUCUACAGCAGUCUUAAUGUCCUUCUGUGUAGCAAAAAUUGAGAUGGUGAAGUGCCAACACAAGUGUAUCUAAUUACUUAAAGCUCAUUUCAAAUUCAUUAUCAAUUAAGAGGUACUAUUUUAAGGUGUCAGCACAUAAAAAAAUUCCUGAGGAAGUAAAAUCAUUUAUUCUUGUAACAGGCAAGCAAAAGAGGCUUAGUGAUCAGUAACCAAAUUUCUUCAAGAUGCUGAUCAGUCUGUUCAUUCUUUGGACAACUGCACAUCACAAGCUGUGGCAGAUGCUCUGAUCUCACCUCCAAAGGCUGCUCCAUCUUGGUAGACUUAAAGACACACCAUUCAUUUCAGAAUGACUUGCUCACUACUUUGAGCCUCUUCACAACAGAACACAGCUCUGCAAGUCAUUUGAAAGGCUGGGAUGGCGACUAUAGUAAGGCCUUUUUGCAUCCUUAAUUUGCAGUGAAGUUUCUCUCCUGUAGAUUUGAGGCUACUGAAAGGAAAACAGGUUAAAUUUUCUGCUUCAAAUUAAACAGUGACAAAAGUUUACCAGAAUAGGUCCUUCUAGGACACUAUCUAGAGCAAGAGGACUGUAUAAUGUUUUGGGUAUCUUCUGUCUUUCUAGCUGUCCUAUGGCCGUCACUAUGUAAAGCAUAAGGCAGUAUAAGGCACAUGGCUAGCUGAGUUACCUUCAGAGAAGUGAUCUGAACAGAAUCCACUUCAGCUCCCAUUAGAGCUCUGUCUGGGAAAACUGAGGGAACCCUCAUCAAGCCCAGAACACCACAGAACUAUUCAGUGAACAUAAGUCAAGCAGCCUUCAUCAAGAGGGUAAUAGGUGGAUGUUAUCCCUAGGCAGACUUUGAUGAAAAUAAACUCCUUCAGUGAGAACAAAGUGUAGAACACCAGUGACUGAGGCACAAACUUCAUUCAAAAUGCCAGACUGAAAGCCCAGUAGAAAGUUCAGCCUAGUAGAACCUUCUUGCCCAUGAGCAUUUUCUUUAGCAGUGAGGUUGAUGACAGAGAAAAUCACAAGCUGAACACGGGUAUUGAAGCAAAAUGAGUGUUCCAUGUAUCCUGUAACUACAGGUUCUUACCUUACAGCAGGCAGAGGAGUGAAGGGAACCUCAUCAAUGGACUUUAGAGUCUUGUCACCUAGACAGCCACAUUUUAUGCUCCAAAAAGAAAAAAAAAAGAAGAAAAAAGCCUGCCAUAUUACUAGAAAUCAGCAGACAGACCUGUUUCUGGACUUCAGUUCACGAUUCC
rnacentral:lncRNA from 1 species